ensembl:lncRNA
CCCUGUUCUGUGUGAGGUUGGGUUGUGAUGUUGACCCUGUUCUGUGUGAGGUUGGGUUGUGAUGUUGACCCUGUUCUGUGUGAGGUUGGGUUGUGAUGUUGACCCUGUUCUGUGUGAGGUUGGUUGUGAUGUUGACCCUAUUCUGUGUGAGGUUGGGUUGUGAUGUUGACCCCGUUCGGUGUGAGGUUGGGAUGUGAUGUUGACCCUGUUCGGUGUGAGGUUGGGUUGUGAUGUUGACCCCGUUCGGUGUGAGGUUGGGAUGUGAUGUUAACCCCGUUCGGUGUGAGGUUGGGUUGUGAUGUUAACCCCGUUCUGUGUGAGGUUGGGAUGUGAUGUUAACCCCGUUCGGUGUGAGGUUGGGUUGUGAUGUUAACCCCGUUCGGUGUGAGACCCUGGAUACAGCAUGGCCUACAGAAGGGCUUACCCAGGUCUACACCUAUACGAGACCCUGGAUACAGCAGCAGUGGGAGGAAGUUGUCCAUGUCCUUGUUUUCCAAUGUAGAAAGAAGUGGAGUUUGGACCAUUCAGCCUUUAUAAUGACGUCCGACUGUCAAGAGGUUAAAUUAGUCCUUCAUGGAAACAUGUUGCAUAUAAAGGAUCACAUUGAAAGAGUGUAAGACUGAACGUUCUUUGCUGGCCAUUUAUUAUUGUACAUAAUAAAACAG